AAGCUCCUGACUCUGGACUCAGGAACUAGCGGGGCCCAAGGGACACUGAGGCUGGACAUGUAAGUGUCCCUGGGAAUUCUCACCAAUAAUUGUCACAGGAGGGCUCUGAUGAAACUCUGAGACUUCUGACAGCAAGUAUGUUGGGGCACAGUGCAUGGAAAAUAUGGGAUACUCCUGCGAAUGUAAGAUGUCACUGGUUGCCGAAUUAUAAGCUCCCUGAGGACAAGGGCAUUGUUGGUCCUAUUCACCUUCGAGUUUCCAGAACAUAGUGGAGUCCAGAGUCCAUGGCAUUGGGUGAAUGUGGGGUUCGUAACAGCUCGUAUGCAGAUGUCAAGUUGAGAAACUCUGGCCUGGCAUGAAGUAGUAACUAUGAUUCCCAAACAGCUAAGUGGAAGAUGUGCUCCCGAGGGCUUGGGCCAUCAGAUGCAUUGUUCCCUUUUCCUUCUCAGAUUCUUUUGGUGGCAUGACAAAAGCCAACCUGACAUUUGCCAGCUGCACCCAGCCACUGAGAGAGAAUGAAUGCUCUGGAAAGAUCUGAGUGGUCCCAAUUGUACAUCCCUUGAGCUCAGAGCUUAUAUCUGCUCUAUACUGCAAGA